rnacentral:rRNA from 1 species
GGGCACGACACCGGAGAGGGAGCCUGAGAAACGGCUACCACAUCCAAGGAUGGCAGCAGGCGCGCAAAUUACCCAAUCCCGACACGGGGAGGUAGUGACAAUAAAUAACAAUACGGGGUUCUUUCGGAUCUCGUAAUUGGAAUGAGUACAAUUUAAAUCUCUUAACGAGGAACAAUUGGAGGGCAAGUCUGGUGCCGGCAGCCGCGGUAAUUCCAGCUCCAAUAGCGUAUAUUAAAGUUGUUGCAGUUAAAAAGCUCGUAGUUGAAUUUCGGGGUUAGUAGGUUGGUCAUGCCUCUGGUAUGUACUGGUCUCACUGAUUCCUCCUUCCUGAUGAACCGUAAUGCCAUUAAUUUGGUGUUGCGGGGAAUUUGGACUGUUACUUUGAAAAAAUUAGAGUGUUUAAAGCAAGCUAACGCUUGAAUACAUUAGCAUGGAAUAAUGAAAUAGGACGUUCGAUCCUAUUUUGUUGGUUUCUAGGAUUGACGUAAUGAUUAAUAGGGAUAGUUGGGGGCAUUAGUAUUCAAUUGUCAGAGGUGAAAUUCUUGGAUUUAUUGAAGACUAACUACUGCGAAAGCAUUUGCCAAGGAUGUUUUCAUUAAUCAAGAACGAAAGUUAGGGGAUCGAAGACGAUCAGAUACCGUCGUAGUCUUAACCAUAAACUAUGCCGACUAGGGAUCGGAUGAUGUUAAUUUUUUAAUGACUCAUUCGGCGCCUUA